rnacentral:miRNA from 1 species
GGGGGAGGGCGCGAGUGGGAGAAGCUAGGGGGGAGGGAUGCGAAGGCGAGAGAAAGAGAGCGAGGAAUUUUUUCUCGCUCUCUUUCUCUCGCCUUCGCAUCCCCACCUAGCUUCUCCCACCCUCGCCCUCCCCCC